CGCAGUCCUUCUUGCACCACCGGCGAGCCUCCUUCGUGUCCUUCGAAUCCCCCCCGCGGGAACCGGACUCCACCGCUUCCGCCGAGGCGACGGUAGCCAGGAGGAGAAAUAAGAGCCCGGCGAGAAGGAGACACCACACGACGGCUGCACCACCCUUGCCCUUGGCACCGGCCAUGGCUGCCUAGCUAGCUAGUUAGCUAGCUACAGAGUACAGAGAUA
rnacentral:lncRNA from 1 species